GGCAGCUUGCCCCAAUUGGGGGUGUUACUCAUGAAAGAUCUUAUCUCAUUGGUUAUCGCACCACUUUUUGUUGGGCUAGUCAUUCAACUAGUUUCUCAUUGGUUAGACGAGAAAGACGAUAACUAGCAAGUUGCUUGGCUAACUCAUACGCCAGAAUCGCAACUGGUGCAAAA
rnacentral:ncRNA from 1 species